UAAGCUGGUCAGGGCUGUUUCCUGGACAGCCGGUGUCUAAGGUGGGGAGGGUGAUUUUGACACAUUAUAUAAGACCAGGCUCACUUUCAGCUGGAGUCUCUACACAGCCAGAUCAGAUCAACGAUAGCAAACCCAGGAUAGUCAACCCAGGACAGCAGUUUCCUUUAGUAGCUGGCCCAUGAGACACCUCGCCUCUCUGCAAUAUGAAGUACCUGGUUCUGGGACUCGGCACACUGGCCUUGCUGGCAUCCACCAUGGCACAGAAUUCUACAAUAGGACCAGCAACCGACCAACAGGAUUCUACAAUAGGACCAACAACCGACCAACAUAAUUCUACAAUAGGACCAGCAACCGACCAACAGUAUUCUACAAUAGGACCAACAACCGACCAACGGAAUUCUACAAUAGGACCAACAACCGACCAACAUAAUUCUACAAUAGGACCAGCAACCGCCACAAGUGCCACAACCGCCACAUGGCCAUCCACACCAAAUUCUACAAUAGGACCAACAACCAACCAACAGAAUCCUACAACAGGACCAACAGCCGACCAACAUAAUUCUACAAUAGGACCAACAACCGACCAACGGAAUUCUACAUUAGGACCAACAAACGCCACCACAAACGCCACCACAAACGCCACCACAACCGCCACCACAACCGCCACAUGGUCAACCACUCUCAUCACACCAGCAGGGGGCAGCCAUGUCUUCAGUUACUCCCUGACUCUACUGUUUGGUUCGACAGUCAGCCUGAUCAUGCAUUCACUAUGGCAUUGAGCGCCACAUAGAGGGCAAGAGUCACAUUGACCGCACCUUCCUGAGAGUGUUAAAGGGUAACUUUGGGAUUUUGGCAACGAGGCCCGUUAUCUACUUUCCCAGAGUCAGAUGAUCUCAUGGAUACUAGUUUUAAGUCUCUGCGUGCGGUUUGAAUGAAGUUGCUAACUUGCGCAACUGUUAACUUCCUUUUAGCUCAAUGACUGCUAAUGCUAGUUGUUAACUAGCGCUAGUGCAAUUGUUAAUUAGCGUUAGGGUAAUGACCGGAACUUCCAGUCAUUGUGUUAACACUAGUUAGCAUUGGCCUCGCAAAACUACCUCUAACUUCCUUCAUACUGGACACAGAGACAUACAAAUGGUAUCCACGAGUUCAUCUGAUUCUGGGAAAGACGAUAAAGGGCACCAUUGCCAAAUCCUAAAGUAUGUCUUUAAAAACUCAAUAAGAGCGUAGGAGAAUGAUCUUUCUCUCUGACAAUUUGUAUAUUUUACAAUGACCUGCUGGAGGUUUGCAUGUGCUCUGUGUAUUUCAAAAUGUAGUACUAAAACACUGGUUGAUAGGGUUGCAAUGCCCAAAAUCGGUGUAUAUUAAUGUUUUAUAGUCAAUCAAGCGAUGAGUUCCUUUGCUAUGUAAACAAGUGAAGUAUUCAUGUGAUUGCCUUCGGACUAAAAUAGGUCAUUAUACAAAUGGUAAAUUCUUUAAUUUAUCAUUGUACAAAUGUUGAAAUGUACCCAUAUAAAUAUUUUUUUUUUUGUAUUGCUAUUUGACCGAGUGAAAUAUUGACAUAUACAUUUAUUAAAAUCCUGAUAUUUUAUCACAGUAAAUAGGUUUAUUGGAAUGACUCUUGCUUUUAAUCUUAAUAUCAGUUCCAUUGUUCUGCUUUUCAGGGCACUUUAAGAUUUGUGAAUAAAAAGUGUCCACCACAAAUGUUCCUUCAUAGGUGAAAAUAAAUGCAUUUUAAUUUAA
rnacentral:lncRNA from 1 species